GUCUCUGGCCAUACCACCUUGAGCACACUGGAUUCUCCUCUGACCUCGGAAGCUAAUUAGGGCCAGGCCUGGUUAGUGCUUGGAUGGGAGAUA
rnacentral:rRNA from 1 species